UACGAAGGGUGCAAGCGUUACUCGGAAUUACUGGGCGUAAAGGGUGCGUAGGUGGUUGUUUAAGUCUGUUGUGAAAGCCCCGGGCUCAACCUGGGAAUUGCAUUCGAGACUGCGUAGCUAGGGUGCGGAAGAGGGAAGCGGAAUUUCCGGUGUAGCGGUGAAAUGCGUAGAUAUCGGAAGGAACACCAGUGGCGAAAGCGGCUUCCUGGUCCAGCACCGACGUUCAGGCACGAAAGCGUGGGGAGCAAACAGG
rnacentral:rRNA from 1 species